AAGCAAACUUCGGAAGAAUCCUGUGUCUUAUUAUCUCAGAGAGUCCCCAUGAGAGCAGGGCUUUAUCCACGUUAGUACUAUUUGACACCUUCCUCCCCAAUCCUGGGAUGCAUUUGACUAUAAAGGGCAUCUUACCUUGUGGAGACCUUGCUCAGUCCUUCUAGAGCUAUCCAGGUGACAUGACCUCAUGACUGGUCUUUGGAAUUCACUCUCAUCCCUCACACCUUAGUACUUUUACAGAAUUAUCCAGCUUGUACUGGAAUUGGUAUGAACACAGAACAAUUACCAAACAUAUUGCAAUGGCCAACUAUAGUUAUUCUAAAACCGGGGAGAAAAAAAAGAUAAUGACUGAGCAGCUGGGUGAAGUAUCUUCAGCUUCUCUGUUGGAAGAACCAUAAAAGAAGGAGGGUGAAGAGUAAGUAGUCCCUUGAGAGAUUCAACAGAGGCAAGAGCAAACAAGCUUGGUGAACCCUGCCCUAGACAUGUACCCAAGUCCCGCAUUUUUAUGGGCAUGCACACUGAGGCAGUGGCUUUGCUACUACAGUCACCAGCUGUCUCGGGAGGCUCUUUGGGGGAGAAUUGCUCAUCACCCCAACUGGGCUACACACUACAGAGGAAACUGCCCUCUGCUAGUGUGAGAAGUGCUGAGACAAGACUUUGCUGCCAGGCAGGAGCUGGCUGAAUGCAAUUUCCUUGUGGAGUGUCUAAGCCAUAAUUGGAUACUUGCAAAAGCUUCUGCUGGUGAUGGUGUCCAUGUUGCUAUUGCUGGGAAUCAUGAGAAGUGAGGAGCAAUCUCAACGGGAGCACACAGAACACUCUACAAUCCAAGGAGCUCACCACCGUGUCACCAGCUAUAACUCGGUCCUUUUCUCCCCCUGCUGAGUAGAAGAGAUUAGAAAGCCUGAAACUAUAAUGGAACACCAGAGGUCACCAAGAGGAGAGGAAACCAAGGUCUAAAUGAGACAAGAGAGGGAAGAAAAUAAACUUAUUUUGGAAAGCUUUGUUAGGAGUAGAAUCGGAAAAACCAGAACAAAUGAUCAACAAAGAAGCUGCAAGCAGAAUCAGGGAACAACCUGAUGGUGGCCAGAAGGAAGAGGGCUGAGCGGAUGGACAAAGUGGGAGAAGGAGAGUGUGAGAUAAAGCUUCCAGUUAUGGAAUGAAUAAGUCACCCGAUUAAAAGAAGCCAAAAGACACUGUGAGUCAGAGGGAGAUGGUGCUCAGCUUUCCACGCGGUGCCAGAUUUCUCCAAUGAAUCCAAACUGCCUUCCAUUAUGACUCCAAGGGUGCCAUUCGAGUAUGAAUCACAUAUUAACAGAUUGGCCAGAAUACUGCAGAGAAUAAGUUUGAUUUGGGUUGAAAGGCAAGAGCUCCGUACCAUGCCAGAUUCAUCCACUUACAGAGAGCUUAAGGACUGUGCGUAUCAUACCUUUGUCAUGAGGUGCCAGAGUUUGAGGCUCAAUACCAUGAACUUGGAUGAAUCUGUGACAGAUGCUUGUCAUUCACAGCUGUCUUUGCCUUCAAAACCACUAAUAAAUAAUGGUCAAGGAAUGCAUCUCCAGAGUGGCAAAGAAUUAUGUGCUCUGCACUCUCCAAUGACAUCCUUUAAGGGGGACUGUUUUGCCUUUGAAUCAUGCAAACUCUCGGAGGAAGAAUCAUUCUGCACAAAAGCGUAUAAAGAGUAACUAGAAAUGGGGAAUAAUCAAUUGGAAUCGGAGUGGCUGCUCUGGAUUCCGGCUUCAGGGCAAAGUCCAAAGCUAAAAAUACAUUUUUUACACUAUACCCCACAUUCUUCAGAUCCAUAAUUUACAGCCCCUUUCUAUACUAUAUUAAUUAAUGUCUUUAUCUA